rnacentral:lncRNA from 1 species
CUUGCACCAGAUUCAAGAAUUCCUUUCUGUGAGCAUCCACAUAACUCGCCCCAACACACUUCCCUUUAAAGGCCGUCUUAAACAGUUCCCAAGUUACCCUUUCAGCCGGGAUCCCUUCUCUCAUAGUGAGCCACCAUUGAUAAGCCUCGCCCCGCAACAACAAUAUGGCUCCCUUCAACUUCUGCUCCACAGAGCAGUCCAAGUCAUCCAUAAUUCAUUCUGUGGCCUCCAACCAAUAUUCC